GGGGAUAACUACUGGAAACGGUAGCUAAUACCGCAUAACGUCGCAAGACCAAAGAGGGGGACCUUCGGGCCUCUUGCCAUCGGAUGUGCCCAGAUGGGAUUAGCUAGUAGGUGGGGUAACGGCUCACCUAGGCGACGAUCCCUAGCUGGUCUGAGAGGAUGACCAGCCACACUGGAACUGAGACACGGUCCAGACUCCUACGGGAGGCAGCAGUGGGGAAUAUUGCACAAUGGGCGCAAGCCUGAUGCAGCCAUGCCGCGUGUAUGAAGAAGGCCUUCGGGUUGUAAAGUACUUUCAGCGGGGAGGAA
rnacentral:rRNA from 1 species